UGGGGAAUUUUCCGCAAUGGGCGAAAGCCUGACGGAGUGACGCCGCGUGGGGGACGAAGGCCUUCGGGUUGUAAACCCCUGUCAGAGGGAAAGAAGGGUGUCGGCGUGAUAACCGCCGGCACUUGACGGUACCUUCAGAGGAAGCCCCGGCCAACUCUGUGCCAGCAGCCGCGGUAAGACAGAGGGGGCAAGCGUUGCUCGGAAUCACUGGGCGUAAAGGGCGCGUAGGCGGGAUGGCAAGUCGGUCGUGAAAUCUCUCGGCUCAACCGAGAAACGUCGGCCGAUACUGCCGUUCUUGAGGGAUGCAGAGGAGACUGGAAUUCCCGGUGUAGCGGUGAAAUGUGUAGAGAUCGGGAGGAACACCGGUGGCGAAGGCGGGUCUCUGGGCAUUUCCUGACGCUGAGGCGCGAAAGCGUGGGGAGCAAACGGG
rnacentral:rRNA from 2 species